rnacentral:snoRNA from 24 species
AACUAUAACAGUCGAUGAGGAGAGGCUUUAGUUCAUGUGUUAACAUCCGAACUCAAAAAUUUGAGAUUUAACGGUUCCAGAGGCAUUUAUUUUUGUAAGUGUCUUAUUGGGACCGAUGUGGAUUGUACCGUGGCUUUUCACCACCUUUAUAGCGGUGCUUUGGUUAUAAUCAACUGAGGCUG